AUGAAAGGAGGUAUUACUGUUGUUCCUAAUGAUAAGAAUGAGCUUAUUCCACAAAAUAUUGUCACGGGCUAUAGAAUGGUAAUUGAUUAUAGAGAAUUAAAUAAAGUUGCUAGAAAAGAUCAUUACCCUCUGCCUUUUAUUGAUCAAAUGUUAGAAAGAUUGUCCAAGAACACACAUUUUUGCUUCCUUGAUGGAUACUCUGACUUUUCACAAAUACUUGUUUUACAAUUUGAUCAAAAAAAGACCACUUUUACUUGUCCUUUUGGAACAUUUGCUUAUAGACGUAUGCCUUUCGGUUUAUGUAAUGCACCUGCUACCUUUCAAAGAUGUAUGACUGCUAUAUUCUCUGAUUUUUGUGAAAAGAUUGUUGAGGUUUUCAUGGAUGACUUUUCUGUUUAUGGGAAGUCUUUUGAUGAUUGUUUAAGCAAUCUUGAUCGAGCCUUGCAGAGAUGUGAACAAACAAAUCUCGUCUCGAAUUGGGAGAAGUGCCACUUUAUGGUUAACGAAGGUAUUGUUUUGGGCCAUAAAAUUUCUGAAAGAGGCAUUGAGGUGGACAAAGCCAAGGUUGAUGCAAUUGAGAAAAUGCCAUGUCCUAAAGAUAUCAAAGGUAUUCGUAGUUUCCUUGGUCAUGUUGGUUUCUAUAGGAGGUUUAUCAAAUACUUUUCUAAAAUUUCUAGGCCUCUUACUAAUCUUUUGCAAAAGGAUAUUCCCUUUGUGUUUGAUGAUGAUUGUAUGGAAUCCUUUGAAACACUAAAGAAAGCCUUAAUUACUGCACCUGUUGUUCAACCACCUGAUUGGAACUUGCCUUUUGAGAUUAUGUGUGAUGCUAGUGAUUAUGCUGUUGGUGCUGUUCUAGGACAAAGAGUUGAUAAGAAACUAAAUGUUAUUCAUUAUGCUGGUAAAACUCUAGACAGUGCUCAACGAAACUAUGCUACUACUGAAAAAGAAUUCUUAGCAGUGGUGUUUGCUUGUGAUAAAUUCAGAUCUUACAUUGUUGAUUCCAAAGUAAUUGUUCACACCGAUCAUGCUACUAUAAAAUAUCUUAUGGAAAAUAAAGAUGCUAAACCUAGACUCAUUAGGUGGGUUCUUCUGCUACAAGAAUUUGAUUUGCAUAUCACUGAUAGGAAAGGAGCAGAGAACCCCGUAGCUGAUAACUUGUCUAGACUUGAAAAUAUUCUUGAUGACCCACAACCUAUUAAUGAUAGCUUUCCUGAUGAACAACUAGCCGCAAUAAAUGUUUCUCAUAGUACACCUUGGUAUGCUGACUAUGCUAAUUAUAUUGUUGCUAAAUACAUACCGCCUAGCUUCACAUAUCAACAAAAGAAAAAGUUCUUCUAUGAUUUAAGACAUUAA
rnacentral:rRNA from 1 species